UUAUUAAAAAAACUAAAACAAAUUAUGACAACAAACCCACCCGGACCGAUCAUCAUCGAACCGUAAUUGAGAAACCCAAAAAUGGCGUUGCUCGGCGACGACGGCCGGGGUUACGAGCUAGCUCUGAAACUUGAGAGUCACGGCAUAUGGCGUUCAUGGCUCGGUGAUUCACUAUAUACCAAUUUCAUUCACUUCCUUUCUUCUCCUUCUACUUGGGAUUCCUUCAUGAGAACAGACGAUUCAAAAACUAGGGUUCAUAUUCACCUCCAGCUUCGUGUUCGUGCUCUGCUUUUUGAUAAAUCAUCUGUUUCUCUCUUCCUCCGAUCCGAUAAAUCGCCGACGUCAAUUCACACUGCUUCUGCAAUUUCGAAGCUCAAUCCAAAUUAUUUGCAAUUGCAUGGUGAUGAUGUGUAUUUUACACUUGAGAAUUGUUCGCAAGAUGGAGCUCAACAGCGUGAAGGUGUUUCCAGUACAAGCACUGUGUUAUCUAAGGUCCAAUCUAAGUCAAAUUUUGGUGUUGGAUCAAGAUAUAGCGAGUCAGAAGCUGAUGCAAUGUCACAGAGGUUGAAGCUUGAUGAUUUACCUGAAACAUGGUAUAACCAGUUCUUUGAAAAAUACAAAGCAAGUAAAUCAUAUAGGUUACAGUUUAGUGACAGGGAAACAGAAAAGCGAACACCUGAACAGAUGUCCUUUUAUCUUAAAGUUGUUGAGAAUCAUAAGAGACGGCGUGUAGCUUUUAAAGUAGAUCAGAACAUUGGUUUUGGCAUGUUGGAUGAUGGAUCAAACCUGGAAUCAAACUCAAUUUUAGAUAACGAUAACCCAUUUUUUCCUGAAACAAUGUCUGCCAUGAAUUGUGUUCCUGAUAGUGCAGUCCUGCGGACAAGUCAACUGAAAGAGAACCUGAAAGUGGAGUUCAACGGGGUUCUAGAUACUUUACCCCAAAUAAUGACGAAGAGCCCUAUUAUGAUUGAGAGGCUUGGUAUUAGACCGGAGUACCUUAGCAUGGAUCAAGGCAGCAAUCAAAAUCUUGGAAAGAGUGGUGCUGAGAGGAGUAAGAAAUGUCUGGGUGAAGAGCAAGCACAAAAAUUAUCACAAAAGGUGAUGGCACGAUUGCUGGGAAAUGUGGGUUUUGAAGGCUCAUCUGAAGUUCCACUAGAUGUCUUGACUAAAUUCAUGAGUUGCCAUAUUCGUAAAUUAGGUUCUACCUUAAAACUCCUUGCUGAUAGCUACAGAAAGCAGUGUUCAGCUAUGGAACUUCUCAAGAUGUUUCUCCAUACAGAUGGACAUAGUAAUCUUGCGGUGUUAUCUGCACUUGUGAAGGAUAAUACUAGAAAUGUUGUGCAACAAACUCAGCAACAGGUACAGGGAUUCCAACAACAGUUGCAACCUCAGCAUGCAGCUGCCAUUCGACAGUCACAGCAGAUAUUAAGAAUGCAUCCUCAGAUGCAGCAGAUGAUCAAUUCCCAAAAUCUGACUCCUCAGCAACAGCAGCAGUUGAUCAAUUCCCAAAAUCUGACUCCUCAGCAACAGCAGCAGCUGAUCAAUUCCCAGAAUCUGACUCCUCAGCAACAGCAGCAGCUGAUCAAUUCCCAAAAUCUGACUCAGCAACAGCAGCAGCUGGAGAGAUUGCGAAGGCGCCAGCAGUUAACACCUCGUCCUGGUAUGAGUAUGAACAUGAACACCGACAAGGACAGGCCCUUAGUUGAAGUCAAGCUUGAACAUCCAACUGAUUUCCCAAUGGACAACAAUGCCUUUAAUGCAAUGACUGUGAGACAGCCCCAGAUGCAGCAGUUCCGUCAGCAGCAAAUUGCAGCUAUGUCAUCCCCCUAUGCUCAAAACACAAAUCAGUUUAGGCCAAUGUCUUCUCUUCAAAUUCCUCAAGUGCAGUCACCGAAUAUGGGAAUGGCCAGGGCCCCUCCUGUAAAAGUCGAAGGAUUCCAGGAAUUGAUGGGUGGAGAUGCAACAAUGAAGCAUGAUUCUGAAGAAAAUAAGUUAAUGUCUCCUCAAAAAUAGCAUUGUUCCAAUGGCUAGUAAGUAUUGAAUCAGCAGUAGAUGGGUUCUUAAGAAAGCUGUUUUCUUGUCACUCUUGUGAACUGCUUUUUUACUUUGUUUAGCUAAAUUAUUUGUACGCAGAAUGAAUGCUAAAAGAAAAUUUAAGUAGGCAUUGAACAUUUUUCAUCAGUAUGGCUGCUGCGAUCAGCAAGCCUAAUAUAAUCCGUGCUCAUGCAGAGAGUUUUUCCUGCCGAUAUGUUGCAAAAUUGUGUACCUCAAGUUGGCAAAAUUUAAGGAAAUGGAUCAUCAUAAUGUUCAGGUCUUUUGCUUGAUGUAUUCAAUUAACUAGUAGAAAAUAAGUAGUGGAAGAAACGUAUUUGAUUGCUUAAAAAUGUAAAAAACAAUUUAGGACUUGCAUAAGAUAAAUUAACAUUGAUAAAAAAAAGAGAGGAUAAAUUGACUUUCUCCUUGAUAUAUUUCAAAAAGUAUGACAGAAGAAGAAAUGACCCACUAUGAUUUUUUUUCUCUUUGAUCUUGUCAUAAAUUCAUGCUCAGAACAAGAAAUUUU